AUCACACUCAGUAAAAGGUUAUUUUGUUAUUAUUGGUUGAGGUUCUCAGAUUUCUGAGAUUACUGCCUUAACUCAAGCACAACAGUUAAAAUUAAACUGAUGUCUGUCAUAAGAAAAAUGGGUUUGGUGAAGUUGCUUCUCUGCUCAGUUGGGAGGAUGUUCGAUUAUUCGUAAGUAUGCACACAGGAAAGUAUAACGGAAUAUACAUUUCCAGCAAUGACCAGGUAAUAUACCACAGUAUAACAAGGAAAAAGCAGUAUCACAUUAAAAAUGAGUAUUUCCCAAUAUCUAAUUGUGUUGCAUGUUUAUGCACCCAGUAGUUUGUAAGUCAUUGUAACAUUAAGAGGUUUUAUUAAGUGAACAAUUAAAUAAAAAUUCAUAGUCAAUGUGUGGUCCUUAUUGGAUUGCCAGUUGGGAGAUAGUCCUGCUGUAUACUUUUCUACAGAGACGUUCCUUAAGAUAUUCCAACAUGAAGGUAUUCACAAGGAAUUGAACACCACCCUGGGAUCAGGUACCAACCAAACAAUGGAGUCAUAACAAUGUAAGUGUGAAUUUUAGCAUAAGUCAUUUAUAGACAGCCGUCCUGAUUCAAAUGCAAACUAGUAACAGAAAACUAAUCUUUGAAUUAAAUCAUGUUAGCGUCAGAAAAUACUAAUCUUUGAAUACCAAACAUAAGGCCUCCUGUCAAAACACUUUAAGUUAAGGCUGAGGGCGUCGGAUUGCAACCAGGAAGUCAAACAAGGGAGAAACAAAACAAACUGGAAGUUACCUCAUGAAAGACCACAUUUGAUAUAAAAUGGCAGCUGGGCCACAUUUAUAUACAAUACCAAGGUGCUAGAACAGCGAUUGAAUCAGAUUAACUUUUGUGCGAUGAAACAAAAUGAAAGCAGGUCCUCACCAGUAAGAUACAAAAACAUGGCAACUUUUGAAAGUUUUAAAUGACAUUAAUGGCAGACAGUGAAGUUGAAAGUAAUUUAUUAAAGUUCAAAAGUAGUUUAUUGGAGGAAAACUUGUUCAGAUGAGUUUCAGGAAUCUGUGAACAGAAUUAAGAAAUUUUACAAUGCAUGAAUCGCAAAGUCAAUGAAGUAUUGGAAUUUGCCACCCCCUUAUUAAGAACAUCGGCUAUUGAAAUUUAAAGUGUAUACUUACUAUGAGGACAAUCAUGUCCAUUUUACAAAAGGCACCAGUGGAGGCUACCACCUUGGAUGGUCCAGAGAUGCCGUUGAAAUUGGCCUUCUUGGAUCAACAUUUGAGUUCGCAGGCUGCACAAAAGAAUCAGAAAACAAGUCCCACAUGCCAGCUUUGGUUUGAAUAACGCCUUUCUGGUGCUUGGGCUUCUGUGGUUGGGAGACACGCUUGGAGGGCAGCUGCUGGGGCCUCGGGGGCGGCUGCUGGGGCCUCGGCCGGUAACCAUCAUCGAAAGUGGGCUGCUGGGGCCUCGGCCGGUAACCAUCAUCGAAAGUGGGCUGCUGGGGCCUCGGCCGGUAACCAUCAUCGAAAGUGGGCUGCUGGGGCCUCGGGGGCAGCUGCUGGGGCCUUUGCUGGUAACCAUCAUCGAAAGUGGGCGGCUGCUGGGGCCUUGAGGGCUUCGGCUGGCAGCCCGAUCUAAAAGUGGGCAGCUCCUGGGGCCCAGGAGGCGUGAGCCGGUGACCCUUAUUGAAAGUAGGCUGCUGCUGGGGCCUCAGCAAAUUCUGCUCAUAGCCCUUACUUAAAGUGGGUGGCUUCUGGGGCCUGGGAGCCCUCUGCUGGUAGACCUGAUCGAGACUGGUCGGUUCCUGGAGCCUCGGCUGGUAGGUUGGAAGGAAAGAGGGCAGUUGCUGGGGCAUCGCAAGGUUCUGCUUGUAGCCUGGUCUAAAAGUGGUUGGCUCCCGGGGCCUGGGCUGGUAGGUCGUAUCAAAAGUAGAUGGCUGGUCGUCGGGCUGCUGGGGAUUAGAGGGCGGAGGACCAGAUUGCAUAAUAAUUGCACUACUUGAGGCAAUACCAGACUCAAUGCUUUCUCCACUUUGUGGAGGGACCCAGUUCUCAGCUUGGGUCCAGAAGAUGUCAUUUGCAUUAGUGUUAGUUUGAGGUGGCUGCGGAGAGUUCUUUGGAGAUUUCCUAAGGAUCGGUGAGCGAGGCACAUAACUAGAAACACUUCCAUCUCGACUGUAACCAUCUACUUGCCCACUUCCACGGAUGCCUCCACUUUUGUCACGCAGUGCUAGAAAAAGAAAAAACAUUUUAGAAGCCCCAAUUUUCAAGAGGUUACUGAAUUGAAGCAGCCAGUCGAGUCCCCUGAAUACUUACCAUUCGCAUUGUGCCCAAAAGCCAAAAGGGAGAGAACAAGCACUCUGAAAAAAGAACAUAAGUAGAAGUAAA
ensembl:lncRNA